ACAACUCCUCCGGCAAUAUAGCAGCUAGAAUGACAAAUGAGGUGUCAAAUGAAAGCUGAUAAUCCAAGGAUGGUACUAAAGGUGAGAUAUUUGACCUUGGCGGUCUGUCCGUCGGUCUGUACGACCGCGAAUAUAACUCCUCCAUCAUUAUACCAGGUAGAAUGACAAAUGAGGUGUCAAAUGAAAGCUGAUAAUCCUAGGAUUGUACUAAAGGUGAGAUAUUUGACCUAGGCGGUCUGUGCGUCGGUCCCUCCGACCGCGAAUAUAACUCCUCCGUCAUUAUACCAGGUAGAAUGACAAAUGAGGUGUCAAAUGAAAGCUUAUAAUCCAAGGAUGGUACUAAAGGUGAGAUAUUUGACCUAGGCUGUCUUUCCGUCGGUCCGUACGACCGCGAAUAUAACUUCUCCGUCAUUAUACCGGGUAGAAUGACAAAUGAGGUGUCAAAUAAAAGCUGAUAAUCCAAGGAUGGUACUAAGGUGAGAUAUUUGACCUGGGCAAUCUUUCCGUCGGUCCGUAGGACCGCCAAUGUAACUCCUCUGCCAUUAUACCGGGUAGAAUCACAAAUGAGGUGACAAAUGUCAAAGUUUAGUAAGAAUGACUCAACAUUAGUAAAUUCGUAUAUCAAUCCACGCAAAGUUACACGUAAAAUUCAAAUAUCGUCUUCCAGUUCUACUUUCGAUUACUUUGGGU